rnacentral:rRNA from 1 species
UACGUAGGGUGCAAGCGUUGUCCGGAAUUAUUGGGCUUAAAGAGCUCGUAGGCGGUUUGUCGCGUCUGCUGUGAAAACUCGGGGCUUAACUCCGGGCCUGCAGUGGGUACGGGCAGACUAGAGUGCGGUAGGGGAGACUGGAAUUCCUGGUGUAGCGGUGAAAUGCGCAGAUAUCAGGAGGAACACCGGUGGCGAAGGCGGGUCUCUGGGCCGUAACUGACGCUGAGGAGCGAAAGCGUGGGGAGCGAACAGG